AUGAACCAUUCAUGGAGCAAGCAUUUCACGGUCAUACACUCAUCAACUCCACAUACAAGAGUACCACCCAUUAAUAGCCUCUGUUCCCCGGCGAUGAUGACCAAGUACAUGAGGAACAAUGUGCAAGGACUUGUGCUACUUUCUUUUCUUCUUGUGGUGUGUUUGACUUGUCUUGGAGGCACAUAUGGUGAAAUCAUAAAUGACAAGCGGAGCAACAUGAUGAGGAAAGUAAGCCAUGUAACGAGACCCCCUUGUUAUAAAGAUGGGCACCAACUCCCCGGACGAGAAUUCUGCUGUAAAAUAGAUAACUUGUGCUGGGCAAAUCUCGGAGAAUGCUUCAUCAACUGUCCAUGCAAGAUUAAUUGCACACCAGCAGCAGCAGCAACACAAUAG
rnacentral:rRNA from 1 species